UUCCGGUUGAUCCCGCCGGACCCGACUGCUAUCAGAGUGGGACUAAGCCAUGCGAGUCGACGUAGCAAUGCGUGGCGAACGGCUCAGUAACACGUAGUCAACAUGCCCAGGGGACGUGGAUAACCUCGGGAAACUGAAAAUAAACCACGAUAGGUCACGAUUUCUGGAAUGGAUCAUGGCAUAAAUCUACAUGGCCCCUGGAUUGGACUGCGGCCGAUCAGGCAGUUGGUGAGGUAAUGGCCCACCAAACCUAUAACCGGUACGGGCUCUGAAAGGAGAAGCCCGGAAAUGGGCACUGAGACAAGGGCCCAGGCCCUAUGGGGCGCAACAGGCGCGAAACCUCUGCAAUAGGCGAAAGCCUGACAGGGUUACUCUGAAUGAUUUCCGCUAAGGGGAUCUUUUGGCACCUCUAAAAAUGGUGCAGAAUAAGGGGUGGGCAAGUCUGGUGUCAGCCGCCGCGGUAAUACCAGCACCCCGAGUGGUCGGGACGAUUAUUGGGCCUAAAGCAUCCGUAGCCGGUUCUGCAAGUCUUCCGUUAAAUCCAGCCGCUCAACGGAUGGGCCGCGGAGGAUACUAUAGGACUAGGAGGCGGGAGAGGCAAGCGGUACUCAGUGGGUAGGGGUAAAAUCCUUUGAUCCAUUGAAGACCACCAGUGGCGAAAGCGGCUUGCCAGAACGCGCUCGACGGUGAGGGAUGAAAGCUGGGGGAGCAAACCGGAUUAGAUACCCGGGUAGUCCCAG
rnacentral:rRNA from 1 species